CUGGAUCCAAAAUCAUGGAGAAUGGAAGCAGUUCGUACGCCAUAGAGUAAAUCAAAUUUUAGCAUUGACAAACAAGGGGGAUUGGAGCCAUUGCCCAGGUGUGGAAAACCCUGCAGACUUGGGAAGUAGGGGAAUACUGGCAUCUAAAUUACAGGAAAACCCUCUCUGGUGGGAUGGCCCUCAAUGGUUAAGUAGUGUAGAUAGAGCAUGACCAAAUUCUAAAAUUGAUUCGACAGAAGAGAGUAGGGAGGAAGAGAAGAAAGCAACAGUGUUAGUUGCGAAUGUACACGAAGUUGUUGGUAUAGAUAAAGUGAUAUGUAUUGAGAAGUUUAGUUCUGUAGAAAAGUUGUUUCGAGUAACAGCCUGGGUUACUCGAUAUGUCCAAAUAUUGAUUUCAAAGGUUAAGGGGAAUGAGAGCGCCCCAACGUCAGGUAAAUUAGAACGAGAGGAGCUACUGAGAGCAGAAAAGCUUUGGAUAAAAGCUACGCAAAUGCAGUUAAAAAAGGAAGAAAAUUACAAGCAAUUAGAAAGCCAGUUGAAGUUAGUUGAAGAAGAUAGAAUCUUAAGAUGUAGAGGAAGAUUCACAGAGUCAGAUCUAGAUGUAGAUGCAAAAUACCCAAUCUUGUUGCCAAAGGAAGGUAAGUUAACUGAAUUGAUAAUUGUCCAUUGUCAUAAUAAGGUACACCAUAGUGGGGUUAGAGCGACAUUAGCAGAAGUAAGGUCGCGUUUUUGGAUCCCAAAGGGUAGGCAAAGGGUUAAGGGCAUAUUAAACAGAUGCACCGUUUGUAAGAGAUUGGAAGGGAAACCCUACAAUGCACCGAAAGAAGCUGAUCUUCCCGGAUUUAGGGUAAGGGAAACUGAACCUUUCGCGAAAACAGGGGUCGAUUUUGCCGGUCCAUUGUACGUUAAGAACGCCACCAACGGAACCAAUAAAGUUUAUAUCGCGUUAUUUUCGUGUUGUGUGAGUAGAGCAUUACAUUUAGAUUUGGUAAGAGAUUUGUCGACACAAGAGUUUUUACGAUGUUUAAGACGAUUUUCGGCACGUAGGGGAACUCCAGCACUUAUAGUUUCGGACAAUGCAAAAACAUUUAAGGCCUCCGCCAAAGCUUUGAAAAAAAUGUACAACUGUGAAACUUUACAAGGAUAUUUAGUUGCUAAAAGGAUUGAGUGGAAGUUUAAUUUGGAUAGAACUCCCUUGUGGGGUGGAUUUUUCGAAAGGAUGGUGCAGUCGGUUAAAAGGUGUUUGAGGAAGGUGCUGGGGAAUGCGAGGUUGACGUUUGACGAGUUGUUGACUACAUUAGUGGAGGUUGAGGGUACAUUGAACUCGAGGCCACUGACGUAUGCAUAUGAUGAAGUUGGAAGUGAACCGUUGACGCCUUCGCAUUUGAUGGUUGGUAGAAGGUUGAUGUCGAUGCCGGACGGAGUGGUUAGUGACGAGUCGGACGAAAAUUACUGUAACAGACGGUUUCAGUACUUGUGUAAGAAAAAGCAACAUUUUUGGAAUAGGUGGCGUAGGGAGUAUCUUGCUGAUUUGAGAGAAUUCCAUAGAGGGAAGCGAGAAAAUAGUAAAAGGGUUGUUGAGAAGGGUGAUGUUGUGAUUGUGUAUGAGGAUAAUGUGAAAAGGGGAAAAUGGAAGAUGGGUGAAGUUGAGGAGUUGGUUGUAGGAAGAGACGGUGUGGUUAGAGGUGCUAAGGUCAGGUUGGUCAGAGAGAACAUUAUUUGUAUCAUUAAACGCGAUACAGGACACUAUAAAAUUGCAUCGUAAUGGGAACACCUAGAAUCCCACAUUAGAACGUCACGGACAUGACUUGCAUGGG